GACGAACGCUGGCGGCGUGCCUAACACAUGCAAGUCGAACGGAAAGGCCCUGCUUGCAGGGUACUCGAGUGGCGAACGGGUGAGUAAGACGCGGGUGGUCAGCCCAGCACUUCGGGAUAAGCCUGGUAAAGUGGGCGUAGUACCGGAUAUGACAUACCAUGAAGUGUGGGGGGUGGAAGGAUUUAUCGGUGUGGGUUGGGCUUGCGGCCUAUCAGCUGGUUGGUGGGGUAGUGGCCUACCAAGGCGUCGACGGGUAGCCGGCCUGAGAGGGUGGACGGCCACCUUGGGCCUGCGAUACGGCCCAGACUCCUACGGUAGGCAGCAGUGGGGAAUAUUGCACAAUGGGCCGACGCCUGAGGCAGCGACGCCGCGUGGGGGAUGACGGCCUUCGGGUUGUAAACCUCUUUCGACGGGGACGAAGCUUUGGUGACGGUACCUGUAUAAGAAGCACCGGCUAACUACGUG
rnacentral:rRNA from 1 species